UUAAAUACCUAAAUUAGAAUUUAAAACUAUGGGUCUUACACUAGCCCAAGGCCUACCCAAGUGGUGGAGCCUACAUCAUAAUUUGUUAAUGUGGGGGACUGCGUUCGCGCGACCCCUUA
rnacentral:snRNA from 11 species